GUUACUGCUAUCGGAGUUCGAGUAAGCCAUGCGAGUCUAAAGGUUUCUUUCGGGAAGCCCUGGCGGACUGCUCAGUAACACGUGGAUAACCUACCCUUAGGACUGGGAUAACCCCGGGAAACUGGGGAUAAUACCGGAUAGAUCAAGGAUGCUGGAAUGCGCCUUGAUCCAAAGCUCCGGCGCCUAAGGAUGGGUCUGCGGCCUAUCAGGUUGUAGUGGGUGUAACGUACCUACUAGCCGACGACGGGUACGGGUUGUGAGAGCAAGAGCCCGGAGAUGGAUUCUGAGACACGAAUCCAGGCCCUACGGGGUGCAGCAGGCGCGAAACCUUUACAAUGUGCGAAAGCAUGAUAAGGGGACUCCGAGUGCCAGCAUCUAAUGUUGGCUGUCCUUGUGCCUAAAAAGCACAAGAUAGCAAGGGCCGGGUAAGACCGGUGCCAGCCGCCGCGGUAACACCGGCGGCCCGAGUGGUAGCCGCUAUUAUUGGGUCUAAAGGGUCCGUAGCCGGUUCGGUAAGUCCUCUGGGAAAUCUGGUUGCUUAACAAUCAGACAGCCAAGGGAUACUGCUGAACUCGAGACCGGGAGAGGUAAGAGGUACUUCAGGGGUAGGAGUGAAAUCUUGUGAUCCCUGGGGGACCAUCUGUGGCGAAGGCGUCUUACCAGAACGGGUCUGACGGUGAGGGACGAAAGCUGGGGGCGCAAACCGGAUUAGAUACCCGGGUAGUCCCAGCCGUAAACGAUGCUCGCUAUGUGUCAGGUACGGUGCGACCGUAUCUGGUGCCGUAGGGAAGCCGUGAAGCGAGCCACCUGGGAAGUACGGUCGCAAGACUGAAACUUAAAGGAAUUGGCGGGGGAGCACUACAACGGGUGGAGCCUGCGGUUUAAUUGGAGUCAACGCCGGG
rnacentral:rRNA from 1 species